GGACGAACGCUGGCGGCGUGCUUAACACAUGCAAGUCGAGCGGUAAGGCCUUUCGGGGUACACGAGCGGCGAACGGGUGAGUAACACGUGGGUGAUCUGCCCUGCACUUCGGGAUAAGCCUGGGAAACUGGGUCUAAUACCGGAUAUGACCUCCUAUCGCAUGGUGGGUGGUGGAAAGAUUUAUCGGUGCAGGAUGGGCCCGUGGCCUAUCAGCUUGUUGGUGGGGUAAUGGCCUACCAAGGCGACGACGGGUAGCCGACCUGAGAGGGUGACCGGCCACACUGGGACUGAGACACGGCCCAGACUCCUACGGGAGGCAGCAGUGGGGAAUAUUGCACAAAUGGGCGAAAAGCCUGAUGCAGCGACGCCGCGUGAGGGGAUGACGGCCUCGGUUGUAACCGUAC
rnacentral:rRNA from 1 species